UACGGAGGGGGCUAGCGUUGUUCGGAAUUACUGGGCGUAAAGCGCACGUAGGCGGAUUUGUAAGUCAGGGGUGAAAUCCCGGGGCUCAACCCCGGAACUGCCUUUGAUACUGCGAAUCUCGAGUCCGGAAGAGGUGAGUGGAAUUCCUAGUGUAGAGGUGAAAUUCGUAGAUAUUAGGAAGAACACCAGUGGCGAAGGCGGCUCACUGGUCCGGUACUGACGCUGAGGUGCGAAAGCGUGGGGAGCAAACAGG
rnacentral:rRNA from 1 species